rnacentral:rRNA from 1 species
AUGGCCUCAUCCGCCGCCACCUCCUCCCCUCUCUCCGGCCAGAUCACCGAGCACCUUACCCGCACCAACUAUGUUCUUUGGUGCACUCAGAUCACCCCGCAUCUGAGAGGAGCUGGAGUCUUCGGGUACGUCGACGGAAGCAUGGCGGAGCCGGCCGAGUUCGUCGCCGGCAAGGACAAGGAUGGAAAGGAGGCAACCAUCCCCAACCCACUCCAUGCCGUCUGGUUCCGCGAGGAUCAGCAGGUACUUGGUUAUCUCUUGAAUAACCUAUCCAAAGAGGUGCUAGUGCAGGUCACCUCCAUCGCG